GCUUCCAGCCCUUUUACUCCACCAUCACCUCCCAUAACCCCACUGUCCCCCCUGACCCCAUAACCCCAUAACCCACCCCAUAACCCCCCAGCUGACCCCGUAACCCCCCAGCUGACCCUAUAACCGCCCUAUAACCCCACAGCUCUGUGCUCCUCGUUGGCCCCCGUUGGCUUCCAGCCCUUUUACUACGCCGUCACUUCGGGCCCCACCGUGCGCUGCGUCACCGCCUGCGCCCCCAACACCGCCCACACCAUCGACUGCAACAGCGGCCACUGCAGGGUGUCCACCGCCGGCCCACACUGCCAGCUGCUCCCUGCGCAGUUUCACGCCCUCAUUGGACGCAGUGAAUACCUCCGUCCCGAUGCAGAUCGCCCGACCCACCGUACACACGCGCUUCUGAGCCCCCCCUAUGGGGGAACCGCAGCCGGACCCACAACUUCGUCUGCCCCACAUCUGCCCCACAACUGCCCCACAACUGCCUGUCUGCCUCACUUCUGCCCCACAUCUGCCCCACAUCUGCCUGUCUGCCUCACUUCUGCCCCACAUCUGCCCCAUAACUGCCUGUCUGCCCCACAACUGCCUGUCUGCCCCACAUCUGCCCCACAACUGCCUGUCUGCCUCACUUCUGCAACAUAACUGCCCCACAUCUGCCCCAUAGCUGCCUGUCUGCCUCACAUCUGCCCCAUAACUGCCUGUCUGCCUCACUUCUGCCCCACAGCUGCCCCACAACCACCUGUCUGCCUCACUUCUGCCCCACAUCUGCCCCAUAGCUGCCUAUCUGCCCCACAUCUGCCCCACAUCUGCCCCACAUCUGCCUGCCUACCUCACAUCUGCCCCACAUCUGCCUCACAUCUGCCCCACACCUGCCUGCCUACCCCACAUCUGCCCCACAUCUGCCUCACAUCUGCCCCACACCUGCCUGUCUACCUCACAUCUGCCCCACAUCUGCCCCACAACUGCCUGUCUGCCUCACAUCUGCCCCACGUCUGCCUGUCUACCUCACAUCUGCCCCACAUCUGCCCCACACCUGCCUGUCUACCUCACAUCUGCCCCACAACUGCCCCACAUCUGCCCCACAACUGCCCCAAAUCCGCCCCACAUCUGCCUCACAUCCGCCCCACAUCCGCACGCAGGCCGUGCCCCUCCCCCCUUAUUUAUUAUUUAUUAAUGCAAUAAAUUAACGAACGGC
ensembl:lncRNA